rnacentral:rRNA from 1 species
UAAGAAUAUUCCGCAAUGGACGGAAGUCUGACGGAGCGACGCCGCGUGGAUGACGAAGGCCGAAAGGUUGUAAAGUUCUUUUGCUGGGGAAGAAUAACCGCAGGAGGGAAUGCCUGUGGGAUGACAAGAACCGGCGAAUAAGCCCCGGCCAACUACGUGCCAGCAGCCGCGGUAACACGUAGGGGGCGAGCGUUGUUCGGAAUUACUGGGCGUAAAGGGCAUGUAGGCGGCUUGGAAAGCCUGGCGUGAAAGUCUGCAGCUUAACUGCAGGGGUGCGCUGGGAACUGCUGAGCUUGAGUGACGGAGAGGGAGCUGGAAUUCCUGGUGUAGGGGUGAAAUCUGUAGAUAUCAGGAAGAACACCGAUGGCGAAGGCAAGCUCCUGGCCGAUGACUGACGCUGAGGUGCGAAAGUGUGGGGAUCAAAC